rfam:Macrostomum lignano unitig_20139, whole genome shotgun sequence.
CUGCUGGUUGAUCCUGCCAGUAGUCAUAUGCUUGUCUCAAAGAUUAAGCCUCAUGCAUGUCUAAGUACAAACCUUAAUACGGUGAAACCGCGAAAUGGCUCAUUAAAUCAGCUAUGCGCUUCCUUAGAUUCGUCUCUCAUCCUACUUUCGGAUAAACUGUGGGAAAAAUCUAGCUAGAGCUAAUAUACGGGCUUACAAGCCCUGACCUCACGGGAUGGGGCGCGCAGUUUAUUAGAUCAAAACCAAUCCGGGCUUGCCCCGGUCUGCUUGGUGACUCUGAGAUAACUUUUGUGCUGAUCGCAUGGCGUCUGCGCUGUGGCGACGUAUCUUUCAAGUGUCUGCCCUAUCAACUAUACGAUGGUAGGGUGAUAUGCCGUACCAUGUUAUUAUAACGGGUCACACGGGGAAUCAGGGUUCCGAUUUCCGGAGAGGCGAGCCUGAGAAACGGCUACCACAUCCGUAAGGAAGAGGCAGCAGAUGCGCGCGCAAAUUACCCACUUCCCGGCACGGGGAAGUAUGACGAAAAAAUAACGCGAUACGGACUCUUUUGAUGGCCCCGUAAUUGGAAUGAGUACACUUUAAAUCCGCGUUUAACAAGUCAUCUAUUGGAGGGCAAGUCUUGGGUGCAGCAGCAGCCGCGCGUAAUUCCAGCUCAAUAGCGUAUAUAGCAUUGUAUUGCCAUGUGUGCUAUGUGUUAAAAAGCUCGUAGUUGGUCGAUCUGAGGACUCGAAUUGGUGGUGCACCAUACGGUGUUACUGCCGAUUCGGCCUACUAGUCGGUGCUCGCGCUCUUGGUGUUCUUAAUUGAAUGCCCUGAGUGCCCGGCCCAGGCAAGUUACUUUGAAAAAAUUAGAGAUGCUCAAAGCAGGCCAUUAGCUCGCCGAAUACUUCAGCAUGGGAAUAAUGGAAUAGGACAUUUCGGUUCUAUUUUGUUGGUUUUCGGAUUUACGGAACAGGCCGAGUAGUAAUGAUUAUAACGAGAGAGACAGAGACGGUGGGCGCAUUCGUUACAAUGCUGCGGUGUUAGAGGUGAAAUCUUUGGAUCGCGCCAAGACGAACAACUGCGAAAGCAUUUGCCAAGAAUGUUUUCAUUAAUCUAAGCAAACGAAAGUCAGAGUAGGUUCGGAAUGACGAUCAGAUGAUACCUGUCCUAGUUCUGACCAUAAACGAUGGCCAAACUGGGCGCAUCCGAGAUCGUUUGCUUAUUGACUCUCGGGCAGCCUCCGGGAGCGAAACCAAAGUUUUUAGGUUCGGGGGAAGUAUGGUUGCCAAAGCUGGAACUUAAAGGAAUUGACGGAAGAAGGCACCACCAGGAGUGGAGCCUGCGGCUUAAUUUGACUCAACACGGGAAAACUCACCCGCGCCGGACACUGUUAGGAUUGACAGAUUGAGAGCUCUUUCUUGAUUCGGUGGGUGGUGGUGCAUGGCCGUUCUUAGUUGGUGGAGGAGCGAUUUGUUUGUCUGGUUAAUUCCGAUAACGAACGAGACUCUAGCCUGCUAAAUAGUACGCCGAUACCUUUUCGUCGGUGCUGACUUCUUAGAGGGACAAGCGUCUUGAAGACGCACGAGAUUGAGCAAUAACAGGUCUGUGAUGCCCUUAGAUGUUCGGGGCCGCACGCGCGCUACACUGAAGGGGACAGCGAGUUUUUCCUGGUUCGAAAGAACCGGGUAAUCUGUUGAAUUCCCUUCGUGACAGGGAUCGGGGGCUUGCAAUUUAUUCCCGUGAACGAGGAAUUCCCAGUGAAAGCGCAAGUCAUCAGCUUGCGCGAAUGUCAUCAGCUUGCUUUACGUCCCUGCCCUUUGUACACACCGCCCGUCGCUACUACCGAUUUGAAUGGUUUAGCAAGGUCCUCGGAUUGGCUGCCGACUUGGUGGCCAACACUAGUCGGAUACUGAAAAGAAGAUCAAACUUGAUCAUUUAGAGGAAGUAAAAGUCGUAACAAGGUUUCCGUAGGUGAACCUGCGGAAGGAUCAUUA